rnacentral:rRNA from 1 species
AACGAACGCUGGCGGCAUGCCUAACACAUGCAAGUCGAACGAAGUCUUCGGACUUAGUGGCGCACGGGUGCGUAACGCGUGGGAAUCUGCCCUUGGGUGCGGAAUAACUUCUCGAAAGGGAUGCUAAUACCGCAUAAUGUCGUAAGACCAAAGAUUUAUCGCCCAAGGAUGAGCCCGCGUAAGAUUAGCUAGUUGGUGGGGUAAAAGCCUACCAAGGCGACGAUCUUUAGCUGGUCUGAGAGGAUGAUCAGCCACACUGGGACUGAGACACGGCCCAGACUCCUACGGGAGGCAGCAGUGGGGAAUAUUGGAC